rnacentral:rRNA from 1 species
AGCUUGCCUAGAUGAUUUUAGUGCUUGCACUAAAUGAAACUAGAUACAAGCGAGCGGCGGACGGGUGAGUAACACGUGGGUAACCUGCCCAAGAGACUGGGAUAACACCUGGAAACAGAUGCUAAUACCGGAUAACAACACUAGACGCAUGUCUAGAGUUUGAAAGAUGGUUCUGCUAUCACUCUUGGAUGGACCUGCGGUGCGUUAGCUAGUUGGUAAGGUAACGGCUUACCAAGGCAAUGAUGCAUAGCCGAGUUGAGAGACUGAUCGGCCACAUUGGGACUGAGACACGGCCCAAACUCCUACGGGAGGCAGCAGUAGGGAAUCUUCCACAAUGGACGAAAGUCUGAUGGAGCAACGCCGCGUGAGUGAAGAAGGGUUUCGGCUCGUAAAGCUCUGUUGGUAGUGAAGAAAGAUAGAGGUAGUAACUGGCCUUUAUCUGACGGUAAUUACUUAGAAAGUCACGGCUAACUACGUGCCAGCAGCCGCGGUAAUACGUAGGUGGCAAGCGUUGUCCGGAUUUAUUGGGCGUAAAGCGAGUGCAGGCGGUUCAAUAAGUCUGAUGUGAAAGCCUUCGGCUCAACCGGAGAAUUGCAUCAGAAACUGUUGAACUUGAGUGCAGAAGAGGAGAGUGGAACUCCAUGUGUAGCGGUGGAAUGCGUAGAUAUAUGGAAGAACACCAGUGGCGAAGGCGGCUCUCUGGUCUGCAACUGACGCUGAGGCUCGAAAGCAUGGGUAGCGAACAGGAUUAGAUACCCUGGUAGUCCAUGCCGUAAACGAUG